AGUGAACGCUGGCGGUAGGCCUAACACAUGCAAGUCGAACGGCAGCACAGUAAGAGCUUGCUCUUACGGGUGGCGAGUGGCGGGCGGGUGAGGAAUACAUCGGAAUCUACUUUUUCGUGGGGGAUAACGUAGGGAAACGUACGCUAAUACCGCAUACGACCUACGGGUGAAAGCAGGGGAUCUUCGGACCUUGCGCGAUUGAAUGAGCCGAUGUCGGAUUAGCUAGUUGGCGGGGUAAAGGCCCACCAAGGCGACGAUCCGUAGCUGGUCUGAGAGGAUGAUCAGCCACACUUGAACUGAGACACGGUCCAGACUCCUACGGGAGGCAGCAGUGGGGAAUAUUGGACAAUGGGCGCAAGCCUGAUCCAGCCAUACCGCGUGGGUGAAGAAGGCCUUCGGGUUGUAAAGCCCUUUUGUUGGGAAAGAAAAGCAGCAGGUUAAUACCCCGCUGUUCUGACGGUACCCAAAGAAUAAGCACCGGCUAACUUCGU
rnacentral:rRNA from 1 species